rnacentral:rRNA from 1 species
CACCAGACUCCUACGGGAGGCAGCAGUGGGGAAUAUUGCACAAUGGGGGAAACCCUGAUGCAGCGACGCCGCGUGAAGGAAGAAGUAUCUCGGUAUGUAAACUUCUAUCAGCAGGGAAGAAAACAGACGGUACCUGACUAAGAAGCCCCGGCUAACUACGUGCCAGCAGCCGCGGUAAUACGUAGGGGGCAAGCGUUAUCCGGAUUUACUGGGUGUAAAGGGAGCGUAGGUGGCAGGGCAAGUCAGAUGUGAAAACCCGGGGCUCAACUCCGGGAGUGCAUUUGAAACUGUCCAGCUAGAGUGCAGGAGAGGUAAGCGGAAUUCCUAGUGUAGCGGUGAAAUGCAUAGAUAUUAGGAGGAACACCAGUGGCGAAGGCGGCUUACUGGACUGUAACUGACACUGAGGCUCGAAAGCGUGGGGAGCAAACAGGAUUAGAUACCCGUGUAC